AUUGAACGCUGGCGGCAGGCUUAACACAUGCAAGUCGAGCGGGGUGAUGGUGCUUGCACUAUCACUUAGCGGCGGACGGGUGAGUAAUGCUUAGGAAUCUGCCUAUUAGUGGGGGACAACAUCUCGAAAGGGAUGCUAAUACCGCAUACGUCCUACGGGAGAAAGCAGGGGAUCACUUGUGACCUUGCGCUAAUAGAUGAGCCUAAGUCGGAUUAGCUAGUUGGUGGGGUAAAGGCCUACCAAGGCGACGAUCUGUAGCGGGUCUGAGAGGAUGAUCCGCCACACUGGGACUGAGACACGGCCCAGACUCCUACGGGAGGCAGCAGUGGGGAAUAUUGGACAAUGGGGGGAACCCUGAUCCAGCCAUGCCGCGUGUGUGAAGAAGGCCUUAUGGUUGUAAAGCACUUUAAGCGAGGAGGAGGCUCUUUUGGUUAAUACCCAAGAUGAGUGGACGUUACUCGCAGAAUAAGCACCGGCUAACUCUGUGCCGGCAGCCGCCGCCG
rnacentral:rRNA from 1 species